rnacentral:rRNA from 1 species
GACGAACGCUGGCGGCGUGCUUAACACAUGCAAGUCGAACGGAAAGGCCCUGCUUUUGUGGGGUGCUCGAGUGGCGAACGGGUGAGUAACACGUGAGUAACCUGCCCUUGACUUUGGGAUAACUUCAGGAACCUGGGGCUAAUACCGGAUAGGAGCUCCUGCUGCAUGGUGGGGGUUGGAAAGUUUCGGCGGUUGGGGAUGGACUCGCGGCUUAUCAGCUUGUUGGUGGGGUAGUGGCUUACCAAGGCUUUGACGGGUAGCCGGCCUGAGAGGGUGACGGGCAACGUCGGGACUGGGAUACGGCCCAGACUCCUACGGGACGCAGCAGUGGGGAACACUGCACAAUGGGCUGCAGCCUGAUGCAGCAACGCCGCGUGCGGGAUGACGGCCUUCGGGUUGCAAACCGCUUGCGCCUGUGACGAAGCGUGAGUGACGGUAAUGGGUAAAUAAGCACCGCCUAACUCCGUG